CUUACCAGACUUUAUAAAACCGUAAAACACACUUCAUUCAAAGUCGACAAAAACUAAAUAAAACUAUCAAAAGCCGUUUUGGUUCGUCUUUCCACUGUUCUAACAAUCACCACUCUGGUUUGGUUGGAAUAAACCCUUAAUUCAACCAUUUACAUGUGAACAUUUUAAAAAUGCAGGCUCUAUACACACCAG